rnacentral:rRNA from 1 species
UACGAAGGGUGCAAGCGUUACUCGGAAUUACUGGGCGUAAAGCGUGCGUAGGUGGUCGUUUAAGUCUGUUGUGAAAGCCCUGGGCUCAACCUGGGAACUGCAGUGGAAACUGGAGGACUAGAGUGUGGUAGAGGGUAGCGGAAUUCCCGGUGUAGCAGUGAAAUGCGUAGAGAUCGGGAGGAACAUCCAUGGCGAAGGCAGCUACCUGGACCAACACUGACACUGAGGCACGAAGGCGUGGGGAGCAAACAGG